rnacentral:rRNA from 1 species
GAUGAACGCUGGCGGCGUGCCUAACACAUGCAAGUCGAACGAGAACGGGUUAUAGCUUGCUAUAAUUGUCAGCUAAGUGGCGCACGGGUGAGUAAUGUAUAGGUAAUAUGCCUCUUACUAAGGGAUAACAAAUGGAAACGUUUGCUAAUACCUUAUACUCCUUAUUAACAGAAGUUAAUAAGGGAAAGAUUUAUUGGUAAGAGAUUGGCCUGUAUUGUAUCAGUUAGUUGGUGGGGUAUGGCUUACCAAGACUAUGACACAUAACUGGUUUGAGAGGAUGAUCAGUCACACUGGAACUGAGACACGGUCCAGACUCCUACGGGAGGCAGCAGUGGGGAAUAUUGCACAAUGGACGAAAGUCUGAUGCAGCAACGCCGCGUGGAGGAUGACACAUUUCGGUGCGUAAACUCCUUUUAUAUGAGAAGAUAAUGACGGUAUUAUAUGAAUAAGCACCGGCUAACUCCGUGCCAGCAGCCGCGGUAACAC